rnacentral:misc_RNA from 1 species
UAUAUAUGUUGAGCAGUAACCCAGAAUGAACUUCGCAGGAUAAACUUUGGCAUAUGUUCCAAUAUUAUCCUUGAGUAUCCGGAGGUCGGAAAGGGAACGAGGCAACUUGAGUUUUCCAUAUUCAGCAGCUGGCAUUGUCAAGUAUAUAGAAAAUAACCCUACUGAAAACACCACAAAUACACCCAAAGCUGCCGCAAAUUCCCAUCUUGACAACGGGAACUUCCCUUCCUUAUACCUUUUACCAGUCGGUGAAUCCUCAGCUCCCGGCGUCAAACCUAAGUUCAUUUCCUCAUCCCUUGUCAGCAACCGCCCCGUAUCCACUACCAAACUCCUUGGCGCAGCCAUUGACAACAACAACGAUGCUGGUGACGAUGAUGAACGUGACACCCUAUUCUUCAUUCAUUUGAAUUUAUAUAACAAAAUUCAAUCAAACCCCACCAAAAAAAAUCCAAGAAACAAACCCCCAAAGCAAAAUCUUGAAUUAUCUAUCACCGGAAUCAAAACCCACAAAUA